AACAAGCUCUCCAACGAGGACGUGUUCAGACUGCUGGCAGACUUCAGGAAGCCAGAAAAGAUGGCCAAGUUGCCUGUGAUUCUGGGUAAUUUGGAUGUGACGGUUGAUAACGUCGCACCAGAUCUGACUAAUUGUGUCACGGCCUCCUAUCUUCCUCUU